ACACCGUUGGUGAAGUGGUUAUCAUGCUUGCCUUCCAUGCAUGGUUAGAAAUGAUGUUCUACAAGAUUGAAAGCAAGCGGCUCGGGUUCGAUUCCCGAACGGUGUA